rnacentral:ncRNA from 25 species
CUUGGAAUUUUUUUGACAGGUGCGCCGGUUGAGGCCGGUGCUGAAAAGGGAAUGCCGGUGAGAAUCCGGAGCAGUCCCGCUACUGUAAGCGGAGCCCAGGCAAUUAUGUCACUGACGCAAGUUGGGAAGGCGCUGAGGGCGAUGAAGCUAAGCCAGGAGACCUGCCUGUUACGAAGCUUGGAGC